UUCUCUCUUAUAGCCGACUCCUCUCCUGCUCCUCUCCCCUGCUUCCGAUGUGGGACUAUUUUCCCCAUCCUUGUUUUCUGCUCCUUCUUCUCGCUUCUCGGUUUGUAUUCCUCUUUCCCUGCUGCUGACUACAGAGCCGCCAUGUUGAGGAGAAGGGGACUCUUUCCCUCUUUCCCUCUCCCCAUAUUUUCUUCUCUCUUCUUCUCCUCUUCCUCUUGUUGCUAUUCUUCGUGCAAGCGGAGGCUCCCUUCUCUCCCUUCUCAGAGACCGCCCGUCCCCAAGAAGAUCCCCUUCGCCGCCUCCGCCCACGGGAGGACCUGGGAGGAUCCGUACCGUUGGAUGUCCAACACCGACGACCCGGAUCUCCUCGAACAUCUGAACCGGGAGAACGCCUACGCCGAGGCCUUCAUGGCCGACACCCGCGAUCUCCAGCGGCGGCUGGUCGCCGAGAUGAAGGGCCGGAUGCCGCCCAAGCUCUCCACUCCCCCCGAGCGAUGGGGCCCCUGGUUAUAUUAUCAAUACAUCCCCGAGGGGAAGGAAUAUCCUGUCCUGUGUCGGAGGCGUAGUCAUCCUGAUGGUUUCACAAAAGCAUUCCUCAAUUACAUGAGAGGCUUCGGGAAGGAGGAACUGUUGCUUGAUUGGAAUGAAGUUGCAGAAAAAUAUGGUUAUGUUCAUAUAGGGACUUGUCGAAUUUCUCCAGAUCACAAGUUCCUUGCUUAUACGCUGGACACUUCUGGUAGUGAAUUGUUUGUACUCCAAAUUAAAGAUCUUAGAACUGGAGAUAUCAUUGCAAGUCCCAAAGUAGAGGGGGUUGUUAGCUUGGCAUGGGCUAAGGAUUGCAGUUGUUUAUUGUAUACUGUCUGCGAUGAAACUCAGAGGCCUAACAGGGUUUUUUGCACAAAAUUGGGGUCUGAUGGAGCAGAUGAUCUGCUUUUUACUGAAAACGAUGCGAGUUGCUGUGUGGACAUUACUAGCACAAACGAUGGCAAGUUUAUCACCAUCAAUUCUAACUCAAGGACGUCAUCUGAGGUUUAUGUGAUUGAUGCAAUGAAUGUAAAAGAUGGCCUUUGGCUGGUUAGGAAACGUGUACCUGGUGUGCAAUAUUUUUUGGAACACCACUGUUGUUUUUUCUAUAUUCUUACUAAUGCUCCUUCAGGAGACAUAGUAUCAGCAGUUGGAAGCUAUUAUUUAGCUAGAUGUAGAGCUGAGAAAUCUCUGCUGGCAAGAUGGCAGGCUAUUGUUCUACCAGAUGAGGGCAUCACCUUUCAAGACAUGGAUAUCUUCCAUGGAUAUUUGGUGCUUUUUCUUCAUCAGAAGGGGAUUCCUUUAUUUUGCUCCAUAAAUAUGCCAGUCGAUGUCAAUAUCAAGCAAGCAAUAAAAAUCGAGGAUCUCAAUCCAUGGUUUUUCCCAGUACCCUCAAGCCUAUGCAAUAUUGUUCCUGGCUCAAACCAUGAUUUCUUGUCAUCUACUUACCGUGUUGUGAUAUCUUCACCAGUGAUGCCUGAUAUAAUGGUUGACUACAAUAUGGAAAAGCAGACAUUCACAAUUGUACAUCAGGAGGAGGUAGUGGGCUUUACUAAAAAUACUCAGGCAAAUUCUUCUUCUGAGAAUUUGCUUUCGAAUCUUUUUAGCAUUCAAUCUCACAGCAACCAGCAUUUGCAAAACUUAGAAGACUCACAGAAGUGGAAUGAUCUUUCUGUGUUAUUUGGCUGUGAAAGGAGGGAAGUCAUUUCAUAUGAUGGUGUUCUAGUUCCCCUAACCAUUUUGUAUUCACGGCAAGCAAAAAAUACUGGUCCAUCACCUGGGCUCUUGCAUGGAUAUGGUGCUUAUGGAGAAGUUUUAGAUAAAAGUUGGUGUUCUGAUCGCAUAAGCUUGCUCUCUCGAGGUUGGGUUCUUGCUUAUGCUGAUGUCAGGGGUGGAGGCGGCGAUGCAUCAUGGCAUCAGGCUGGCACCAGAUCAUGCAAAUUAAACUCAAUUAAGGACUUUGCUGCCUGUGGCAUGUAUCUUGUCAAUGAGGGUUUUGUUCAUAAAAAUCGGCUUGGUGCUGUUGGCUGCAGUGCAGGAGGCCUUCUGGUUGGUGCAGCUAUCAAUAUGUACCCUGACUUGUUUUGUGCUGCCAUUUUGAAGGUUCCAUUUCUCGAUAUCUGCAACACAAUGUUGGAUCGCAGUUUACCUCUCACCAUUUUGGAUUAUGAUGAGUUUGGUGACCCUAGAAACCAAGCUGACUAUGAGACAAUUCAUAGUUAUUCUCCAUAUGAUAACAUAUCUCCAUGUGUUUGUUAUCCUUCAGUGCUAGUUACAGCAUCAUUUCUUGACUCAAGGGUAGGAGUCUGGGAAGCUGCUAAAUGGGUGGCAAAAGUGAGAGGUAACACAUGCCCCACUUGUUCGUAUUCGGUCAUUCUGAAGACGAACAUGAGCGGUGGACAUUUUGCUGAGGGUGGUCGUUUCAUACAUUGUGACGAUGCAGCUUUUGAGUAUGCAUUUCUAAUUAAAGCAAUGGGACUGCUUCAAGAUGAAAAGCAAGCUUGAGUCCUUGCAGAGAAGCCUUUGUUGUUCCUCAUCAUUAGAAAGAUGGUGUUCGGGCUACUGAAACUGAAAAUGCUUGCUCAAUCUUCAUCUAAAAGGACCGCCAAAAGCCUACAGGAAGUAGCUGAUUUCUUGGUUCCUUCUGAAUCAUUGGAUCACUAGGAAGUCUUUUUUAAGCACCAGCCAGCUUACAUGUAUUCAAUUCAAUUCAACAGAUGCAUUAAGGAACGGGGUGCCAACCAGCACACUGAAGGCCUGGUGAGGAUCUAACUAUUGGUGCUCUCAAGUUUUCCAUGUGAUAGAACCUAAUUACCUUGUACCAAGUGAACUUGUUAUUCUAUUUUACGGUGAUAUAUCAUUUUCAGAUUUAAUUCUGUACAUCUUAUAAAUCAUUCCUAUUGCAUGUAUAUUUUAAAUUAGCAUGCAAUGCUUGACAAGGAUCUGAAACAGUUGACUCAAAAUUGUACCUUAUGGUUAAGAGUUAAGACAAUUUUGAGUCAGCAGCCAGUGACUUGGAUUCGUGCUCAUAAGAUAUGGUGAAGAGUAGUUUGGAGCCUAUUUAUCCA